UACAGAGGGGGCAAGCGUUGUUCGGAAUUACUGGGCGUAAAGGGCGCGUAGGCGGCCUUCUAAGUCGAACGUGAAAUCCCUGGGCUCAACCCAGGAACUGCGUCCGAUACUGGAAGGCUUGAAUCCGGGAGAGGGAUGCGGAAUUCCAGGUGUAGCGGUGAAAUGCGUAGAUAUCUGGAGGAACACCGGUGGCGAAGGCGGCAUCCUGGACCGGCAUUGACGCUCAUGUGCGAAAGCGUGGGGAGCGAACGGG
rnacentral:rRNA from 1 species